GACGAACGCUGGCGGCGUGCUUAACACAUGCAAGUCGAACGAUGAAAGUGGAGCUUGCUCCGCUGGAUUAGUGGCGAACGGGUGAGUAACACGUGGGCAACCUGCCCCAGACUCUGGGAUAACUCCUCGAAAGAGGUGCUAAUACCGGAUACGAACUCCUUGGGCAUCCUUGGAGUUGGAAGGUUUUUCGGUCUGGGAUGGGCCCGCGGCCUAUCAGCUUGUUGGUGAGGUAACGGCUCACCAAGGCGACGACGGGUCGCCGGCCUGAGGGGGCGACCGGCCACACUGGGACUGAGAAACGGCCCAGACUCCUACGGGAGGCAGCAGUGGGGAAUAUUGCGCAAUGGGCAAAAGCCUGACGCAGCAACGCCGCGUGAGAGAUGACGGCCUUCGGGUUGUAAACCUCUUUCAGCAGGGAAGAAGCGAAAGUGACGGUACCUGCAGAAGAAGCACCGGCUAACUACGUGCCAGCCGCCGCCGUAA
rnacentral:rRNA from 1 species